GUGCUUGCUUCGGCAGCACAUAUGCUAAAGUUGGAAUGAUACAGAGAAGAUUAGCACUGUCCUUGCACCAGGAUGACACACAAAUAGGUGAAGUGUUCCAUAUUUUU